CCGCCCUUCUCCGUUGCCGACGCUAGCGAGUAGCGCGUAGCGCAUGCACCAAUUUCUAGACACGGCGCUCCCCUCGACUUCACAGUGAAGCAGAUCAUCGGCAUCGACAACGAGCCAGUGCGUUUGGCGUUGUCUCCUCUCUCUCGUGCAUGGACCAACUUGGAUGGAGGGCGGUGGAUCCGGGACGUGACCAUGAAGCAGCUCAUCCAGUGGCGGAGCGUAGUGGGGAUAAUUACGAGCCCUGGCCCCCCCCUUCCAAGAGGAAAAUUUACCAAAUACACUUACUUAUCUACUAAUUGCUCUACUAAUCGUCCGGCGUCUCUGAUCAUCCUAGCCUUUUCUAUGCCAUAUACACUCCUUUGGCCCCUUCUAAUAUUUGAUUCACGCUCCGCCACUGAGCUCAUCGGCAACGACGUGCGCCCGGGUCGAUCUGGACGGUGGGCGAUGGAUCCGGGAUGUAGCGGCUUCCUUGACUUCUUCCACGGCGGCGGCGGCCAGUGCACUUGGAUCACUUUGAAGCAAACUGUGCGCAUAGUACUGAACUGGGAGGUGCUGGGAGGCUGAUGCUUCAGAUGAAACUGGCAUCGAGGAGGAGCUUUUCGAAUCAAGGAAUAAAUGAAGAGUGGAACAUGACCCAAGUCACAGUGGAACAUGUCUUCUCAUCAUUUGUUCAGAAAUACGUAUAGUCGGACGAUUACUUUUGUGAGUUUGGUGGAAGGAAUUGCAUUUCUUACUGCGGUGAGUUUCCAAGAGGAUGGAAGCACCGAUGAGAAUUACAUUUGUUUUUGGCAGAUUAGGUGCGCGAACGAAUUGCUGGCACAUUUGCAUGUUAUAAUUUGAUCCCUUUGUUGAGAUAGAGUUUUUUCGUAUGUUAGUGAAA